rnacentral:rRNA from 1 species
GACGAACGCUGGCGGCGUGCCUAAUACAUGCAAGUCGAACGGUCUUUUCUAUGGAAGCUUGCUUCCGCUGAGAAGAUAGUGGCGAACGGGUGAGUAACACGUGGGUAACCUGCCCAUAAGAGGGGGAUAACAUCCGGAAACGGGUGCUAAUACCGCAUAGUUUUCUUGAUCGCAUGAUUGAGAAAGGAAAGACGGCCUUUGUGCUGUCGCUUAGGGAUGGACCCGCGGCGUAUUAGUUAGUUGGUGAGGUAACGGCUCACCAAGACGAUGAUACGUAGCCGACCUGAGAGGGUGAUCGGCCACAUUGGGACUGAGACACGGCCCAAACUCCUACGGGAGGCAGCAGUAGGGAAUCUUCCGCAAUGGACGAAAGUCCGACGGAGCAACGCCGCGUGAGUGAAGAAGGUUUUCGGAUCGUAAAACUCUGUUGUCAGAGAAGAACAAGUCGGAGAGUAACUGCUCCGGCCUUGACGGUAUCUGACCAGAAAGCCACGGCUAACUACGUGCCAGCAGCCGCGGUAACAC